CUACGGAGGGUCCAAGCGUUAUCCGGAAUCAUUGGGUUUAAAGGGUCCGUAGGCGGACAAUUAAGUCAGAGGUGAAAUCCCACAGCUCAACUGUGGAACUGCCUUUGAUACUGGUUGUCUUGAAUUAUAGUGAAGUAGAUAGAAUAUGUAGUGUAGCGGUGAAAUGCAUAGAUAUUACAUAGAAUACCGAUUGCGAAGGCAGUCUACUAACUGUAUAUUGACGCUGAUGGACGAAAGCGUGGGGAGCGAACAGGAUUAGAAACCCCAGUAGUCC
rnacentral:rRNA from 1 species